GUUGAGUCUGGUACUUCCCAAUGACUAGUUGAACUGAACACACAGGUGUACGCAGUUCAGUGAACAGGUGAACUGGUGUUUUGCAUACAGGUGUUUUGCCUAGUUUUAAUUAUUCCCAUGUUUCCCCUGCCUUCUUAGUCCUGUAUUACAGCUGGUCUUUCCGCCCACAGUGUAUUUGCAGGCACCAAGAUGGCUCCGUCUAGAAGAUUUUGCUUCAGUUUUUCUUUGACCUUCAACUGACUGCUCUCAGUGCUUAUAGUUUGGAUCAAGGUGCAUGGAAUAGAAGAUUUUAUACUCAUAAGUUAUAGCCAACAGUGAACAUCUUCUGAUCUAUUCUGCAGAGACCCCGGGUGGCCCAGCCUGACUAGAGAAGCUCACAAAGUGACUCACAACACUGGAGGAGCUGCAGGUCCGCCCUUGGCUCUGUUUUCCUCAUGAAGAACUGUGUUCUCAAGGGAGACCUCUUGAAUUUUCCAGGCAAGGAUACUGGAGUGGGUCACCAUUUCCUGUUCCAGGGGAUCUUCCCACCCGAGGGAUCGAACCUGUGUUUCUUGUGUCUGCUGCAUUUGGCAGGCAGAUUCUUUACCAUUUACCCCUUGGGACGCCUGUGGUCAUUGUGUCGGCAGAUCUUUUACUUUUCUAAUGUGGUCUGUCUUGGUCUCUGUGGUGGAAGGGAUAUGCUUCAGCCUUGCUCCUGUGUUGCAGGAUUUUCUCAGCCAUGUAUUGUCCAAUAGUAGUUGUUACUUAUUCUUAUGAUGCGGAGAGGAAAUCAGGAAAGACUUAUCUUGGUGAUGCCACCUGUUAUUUAUAGGUAGUAAAAUUUGGUUUUUGUAUAUAGUAUUCUGUUAUUGAAUAUUAUUCUUUUGAUUUAUUUUAACCAUUUGUUAAUGUAAAAACUGAUCUUAGCUCAUGGGCUGUACAGAGGCAGGAAAAGGCUGGAUUUGGCCUGUGGACUGUCGUUUACCAUGUCAACUACUCCAACUGAGUAUUUCUGAGUUGUUCUUUGUCACAGUCUGACACGCAGAAAAAUAUGAGGAAACAAGAGGAACGUAAGGGGAAAAUCUCCAAAGUAAGCUGAUUGUGUGAAAAGAGGGAUUGCCUGCUGGGAAAUGUUCACCCUGAGGAUAUUCUUGGUAAAAAAAUAAGAAAUGGCAAGGAAAUGAACUGCAAGAUGGGUUAGAUAUUUUUCUCAUUUCUCCUUUUAUUUUUUUCGUUUGAUGGAUUUCAAGCUUCACAAUGGAAACUGCUAUCACCUCCUUAUUUCAUAAACAGACUGCAAAAGGAGUUAGAAAUACCGUUUUGAAGUCAUCCAACUCCUCUGGUAUACAUGCACUGCAGCAUAUUUAUAUCUUCCUGAUGGCCUUUUCACCUCCCAUGCUAAUCGUGAAUUAAAUUUUUGUCUCAAAGAAGCAGAGCAGCGUAAGAUUUUCUGAAAAAUUGAGACAAACAGUGCUAAUGUCAAGCAAGUGAUUUCUUCAGAGUGCUUUAGGAAGAGGAAGAAAUAAAUGAAGGUUGUUGAAUAGCUACUAUAAACUAAAUAUUAUGUUCGUACGUGUGGAAUGCUUGGCAUACGUGUUUAGCACAGAGUCAACACUAAAUACAUUAAACAUACUGUAUCAGUUAUAAUUAUUACAGUCUUUUUUGAUCUUAAAACAGCCAUGCAAUCGAAAUACUAUGAUGUCUGCCUUGCACUUAGAGAAAAUAAGGAUUGUGAGAGUAAGUAAUUUUUCUCAUGUUACAUAAUUAGUAAGUGGUAGCACUGGCUACAUGGUAGGCUCUCAAUAAGUAUUUGCUG
ensembl:lncRNA